rnacentral:rRNA from 1 species
GACGAACGCUGGCGGCGUGCUUAACACAUGCAAGUCGAACGGUGACGGAGAGCUUGCUCUCCUGAUCAGUGGCGAACGGGUGAGUAACACGUGGGCAACCUGCCCAGACUUCGGGAUAACGCUUCGAAAGAGGUGCUAAUACCGGAUACGAGCUCCUUGGGCAUCCUUGGAGUUGGAAAGUUUUCGGUCUGGGAUGGGCCCGCGGCCUAUCAGCUAGUUGGUGAGGUAACGGCUCACCAAGGCGACGACGGGUAGCCGGCCUGAGAGGGCGACCGGCCACACUGGGACUGAGACACGGCCCAGACUCCUACGGGAGGCAGCAGUGGGGAAUAUUGCCCAAUGGGCGAAAGCCUGACGCAGCAACGCCGACGUGAGGGAUGACGGCC